rnacentral:ncRNA from 1 species
CCUGUAUAACUCAGGUUGGUGCGGGAUGUGGCUUUCACGGCUGAACCGUUAA